rnacentral:rRNA from 1 species
GGGGAAUCUUAGACAAUGGGCGAAAGCCUGAUCUAGCCAUGCCGCGUGAGUGAAGAAGGCCCUAGGGUCGUAAAGCUCUUUCGCCAGGGAUGAUAAUGACAGUACCUGGUAAAGAAACCCCGGCUAACUCCGUGCCAGCAGCCGCGGUAAUACGGAGGGGGUUAGCGUUGUUCGGAAUUACUGGGCGUAAAGCGCACGUAGGCGGAUCAGAAAGUUGGGGGUGAAAUCCCAGGGCUCAACCCUGGAACUGCCUCCAAAACUCCUGGUCUUGAGUUCGAGAGAGGGGAGUGGAAUUCCGAGUGUAGAGGUGAAAUUCGUAGAUAUUCGGAGGAACACCAGUGGCGAAGGCGGCUCACUGGCUCGAUACUGACGCUGAGGUGCGAAAGUGUGGGGAGCAAACA